rnacentral:tRNA from 1 species
GGAGUUGUGCCUGAAACAAAGGGACACCUUGAUAGGGUGAACCAUGGAGGUUAAAGUCCUCCCAACUCCU